CUUUCCUAUGUUAUUUCUUGCCAUGCCCAUUGAUGUUGGGCUGGGGUCAUCUUAUGUUCACCCAGCUCCUUUUCUGGUUCCUUUUUACCAGCAUCUUUGGGCUGAAUGGGCUGUAACUUCUUAUAUAAGCUUUUACUCCCGUUCAGCCCACAAAAGCCAUGGGUUUGCAUUGCAGAGAUCUGCCCUGUCUUGUCUCUCAGGACAGGGAAAUGACCCAGUUGUGGGACAGCACUUUGGGACUGGGCAAACGGAACAUGAUGAGCUACAUGGGCCACAAGCAGGCGGUGCGGCCACAAGCCCCACAGGCAGACAGACCCAGAGCGCCAUCCUGCCAGCCAGAAGCCCAAGGAGAGCUGGCCAAAGCACCGGAAAACUGACCCUCCCUGGGUAUCCACCCCACCGCGUGCCACCACCAGCUCUUCACUGGCCCGCAGCAACCUGUUGGGUGGCGAUGGGCACCUCGCCGGCUCCUGCAUUCGGGAGCCCCACAGGCACCCCAGCAGCGGGAGCGUGGAGGGGCGGCAUGGGCUGGAGAGGCAAGAGUACACAAUGCUGGCAGACCUGCCCAAGCCCAGGCGCCUUGGCCACCAGAAUGCUGUUGACCGCUGUGGCUUCCGUACACUCAGCCCUGGCCGGGUGGAGGUGGAGAAAAUAUUUGGAUGUGAACGCAGGAAAUCAGAGACCCUGGAAGCCUUCCAGGCGCUGGAGGAGGGCCGUGUGGACCGGCUUGAUGGCAAGACCCCAGUGCCACCCAGCAAAGGCCAUCUGGUUCGGAGGCAGUCCAGCCCCAGCCUGCCCAGGGAGGGUCAGCGGCUCUCCUGGCACCUUGAGCAGCGCAGCAAAGACCCCAAGGAGCCCCCAUGUUCCCCCAGCCUGGCUUGGCACCCCGAGAAGACCACCAGGAACCGGGGGGACCCCCUGCGCCCUGCCAGCCCCAGCUGGCUGCUGGAGAGAGGCAGCCAGAGCCCACGCUCUUCAAGUCCAGCCCACCGGUCAGAGAAGAGGGCAGGGGAGCCUGCAAGCCCUCCCUGGCUCUCGGAGAAAAGCUGGAGGAGCCGAGGGGAGCCAAGCCACCCUCUAAACUUGGAGAGGGGCCGAGCCACCUGGCAGGCUGGGGGUACAGGGCAAGCCCUGGAGAAGAAGAGCCGAGGGGACUCCCUGCACCCUGCAGGCCUUGGGAAGGGUUUGGAUAAUAGUGGGCUGAGGCGGUCGGGGCCACUACCACGGUCUCUGAGUCCUGGGAGACAUACAGAGAGCACGUGGAAAAGCCAAAAGGAGAUCUCCUCUCCCAGGCCAGUGUGGGGAGCAGAGAGGAAACAAGCAAAGCUGGGGGAGCUACUGUAUCUCAGGGGGCCUGGGAAGCCAUCUGAAUGCAGCUGGCAGAGCCUCCGGGAAAAGCUGCCACCCUCCCCCCCUGGGAAGGGCACUGGCAGUGACUGGAAAGGCAGAGGCAAACCUCUGCGCCCUGUGAGCCCAACACAACCACGGAACCAGGACUGGAGGGGUCGGAGGGAUGCCCACCAAGCGCAGGCAUUGGAAAAGGACUGGAAGCACCAAGAAAAGCCUAUGUGCCAUGCAGACUUGAUGCACCAUCAGGAAAGGGACUGGAAAAGCCCCGCUACAUGUCUGGAUGUAGGACCACGGCUGGAUGAUAGUUGGAAAAGGCCUCAGAGUCCAGCACAGCAGCUGGAGGACGAGUGGAAGGGUCCCAAGCACACCCGAGACACAAACAACCCAGAAAAGUCACUGGAAAGCGACUGUGGGAACAAGAAACUUCUCAUUUACCAUGUGAGUAGAGCAGGAGCCAGAGGAGAUAAGGACCUUUCCAGGCAUAAAACUGGCAAGCACUAAGUGGGUGGGUCCCCUGGAUCCUCUGCUUCUCCGCACUGCCUGCCUGGUACUGGGAGGAGGGAGCAUGCUUCCUGCGCUGGCUGGUGCCAGGAGGCGAAUGCUCAGAUCUGGGAAAGUGAGGUGGGAACUAAACCCCUGUGGCUUUAGCUUCCGCUUUCUCCCCCUGCAGCCCCAGCUGGGUGGAGGUACCUUCCCGUCCCAAAGCAGCACCGGCUCCUCGGGAAGCCCACAGCCACAUUCCAAUGCCAGCGAGAAGCGUAACAAGGUAGGGGCAGCUGCUCUUCCCUGAAGGUCACUGUGGGCAGCACCUGGAUCUCCAGCACUUGAGCAGGGUUAGGGUGGUGCUGCCUUCCUGUGACCUCCUGGGCACCAUGCUCACUAAAACCCCCCUGUCCUUCAUCCUUUGCCCAUUUCUCAGGUGGGAAACUGAGGCAUUUUUUUUAAAGCCAGAGAGGGGCAAGCAGUAGACCUGGAACUAAAAUCUCAGUGUAGCGGCUUUCCUUCCCUUUGCUAUUGCCAGUGCUAUGAUGGCAGUGAGGGUUUUACAGGGAUGAAGCAGGCUUUAGUGGCAUGAAAGAAGAUAUGGUCAACUGUGUUGGUG
rnacentral:lncRNA from 1 species